rnacentral:rRNA from 1 species
UGCUACCUGCAGUCGAGCGAGAAAGGGGGGCAACCCCCUGAGUAAAGCGGCGCACGGGUGAGUAACACGUGGGUAAUCUGCCCUGGAGUGGGGAAUAACACCGGGAAACCGGUGCUAAUACCGCAUACGAUCACGGAGUCUGCGGAUUUUGUGAUGAAAGGAGCAAUUCGCUCUAGGAGGAGCCCGCGGCUGAUUAGCUAGUUGGUGAGGUAAUGGCUCACCAAGGCUACGAUCAGUAUCCGGUCUGAGAGGACGGUCGGACACACUGGAACUGAGACACGGUCCAGACUCCUACGGGAGGCAGCAGUGGGGAAUUUUUCGCAAUGGGGGCAACCCUGACGAAGCAACGCCGCGUGGGUGAUGAAGUCUCUUGGGACGUAAAACCCUUUCGACGGGGAAGAAACCGCAAGGUUGACGGUACCCGUAGAAGAAGCCCCGGCUAACUCCGUGCCAGCAGCCGCGGUAAUACGGGGGGGGCAAGCGUUGUUCGGAAUUACUGGGCGUAAAGGGUGCGUAGGCGGUUCGUUAAGUUAGAUGUGAAAACUCUGGGCUCAACCCAGAGCCUGCAUCUAAAACUGGCGGGCUAGAGUUCUGGAGGGGGUAGCGGAAUUCCUGGUGUAGCGGUGAGAUGCGUAGAUAUCAGGAGGAACACCGGUGGCGAAGGCGGCUACCUGGACAGAAACUGACGCUGAGGCACGAAAGCUAGGGGAGCAAACAGGAUUAGAUACCCUGGUAGUCCUAGCCCUAAACGAUGGAUACUUGGUGUGUCCGGGAUUGAAUCCGGGCGUGCCGAAGCUAACGCAUUAAGUAUCCCGCCCUGGGGAGUACGGUCCCCAAGGCUGAAACUCAAA